UACAGAGGUCUCAAGCGUUGUUCGGAUUCAUUGGGCGUAAAGGGCGCGUAGGCGGCCAUUCAAGUGACGGGUGAAAGCCCUCGGCUUAACCGAGGAACUGCCUGUCAGACUGGAUGGCUUGAGACCGGGAGAGGUGAGUGGAAUUCCCAGUGUAGCGGUGAAAUGCGUAGAUAUUGGGAGGAACACCAGUGGCGAAGGCGGCUCACUGGACCGGAACUGACGCUGAGGCGCGAAAGCGUGGGGAGCAAACAGG
rnacentral:rRNA from 1 species